rnacentral:rRNA from 1 species
AACGAACGCUGGCGGCAGGCCUAACACAUGCAAGUCGAACGCUGUAGCAAUACAGAGUGGCAGACGGGUGAGUAACGCGUGGGAACAUGCCCUUCGGUUCGGAAUAACUCAGGGAAACUUGAGCUAAUACCGGAUACGCCCUUAGGGGGAAAGAUUUAUUGCCGAAGGAUUGGCCCGCGUCCGAUUAGCUAGUUGGUGAGGUAAUGGCUCACCAAGGCGACGAUCGGUAGCUGGUCUGAGAGGAUGAUCAGCCACCCUGGGACUGAGACACGGCCCAGACUCCUACGGGAGGCAGCAGUGGGGAAUAUUGGACAAUGGGCGCAAGCCUGAUCCAGCCAUGCCGCGUGAGUGAUGAAGGCCCUAGGGUUGUAAAGCUCUUUCGCCAGGGACGAUAAUGACGGUACCUGGAUAAGAAGCCCCGGCUAACUUCGUGCCAGCCGCCGCGGUAAGAC